rnacentral:rRNA from 1 species
UACAGAGGUCUCAAGCGUUGUUCGGAUUCAUUGGGCGUAAAGGGUGCGUAGGCGGCGCGGUAAGUCGGGUGUGAAAUCUUGGAGCUUAACUCCGAAACUGUAUUCGAUACUGCCGUGCUUGAGGACUGGAGAGGAGACUGGAAUUUACGGUGUAGCGGUGAAAUGCGUAGAUAUCGUAAGGAAGACCAGUGGCGAAGGCGGGUCUCUGGGACGGUACUGACGCUGAGACGCGAAAGCGUGGGGAGCGAACAGG